rnacentral:lncRNA from 1 species
AUGACCCAAAAGCGUGGGGUUUUUACCUCCCCACUGUCAAAAAGCCCAGAAAAUGGGACCCCGCUGCGAUGCCCGGGGGGGCCUGAAAUCGCCCUAAAUUACCCCAAAAUCCACGUUUCCCCCCCCGGGCCAGGUUUUCUUUUCCUGAGAGAACGUCGUUGUCUCAGGUUUUGCUUUUCUCCUGUGGGCCCCCCAAAAAAAAACCCAAAAAAGUUUAAAAAAACGGCCAAAGAAAAAAAGCAAAAGGCGCCGGUGGCGGCACUCCGGUGGCGGACGGGGUUCGAGUCCCCGCGGCGCCUGCUGCUGGCCGGGGCAUGUCACGAUAGGAAGGGGUUAUAUUGCGAUAGGAGGGGUUAUAUCGCGACAGGAGGGGGGUUAUAUAACGACAGGAGGGGUUAUAUCGCAACAGGAGGGGGUUAUAUCGCGACAGGAAGGGGUCAUAUCGCGAUAGGAGGGGCGUGUCGCGACAGGAGGGUAUUUUGGGGGAGCCUUUACACGCCCCCAUUGAACCGUUUAGACGAAAAACCGACCCAAAACCAGAGGCGUCCCCAAAACCAAGUCAGCCAGUGACCCCCCCCCCCCCAAAAUCCCCUAAAUUUCCCUCUAUUUUGGGGCAUUUCGCUUGAAAAAAAACUUAAAAUGAGCUCCGAGGGGCUCCGCGGCCAGGCAAACUGCGGGAAAAAGCCCCAAAAAUAUCCCAAAGCGGCCCCGACCCCCCCAAAAAAAAGGUGCCGCUGUUUUUGGGGUCAGCGCGGCCCCCCCUAAACCCUGCCCCCCUUGUUUACCCCCAGAUUUGAUGAGAUUUUAUGAGAUUUGAUAAUAAUUUGGUGACAUUUGAUGAUAUUUGAUGAUAUUUGGUGAUAUUUGAUAAUAAUUUGAUGAAAUCUGAUAAAAUUUGAGCUAAUUUUUUGAGCCCCUCACCCCCAGAGCCGCGUGCAAUAAAGGCGCCCGCUGCCACACCCGGUGCUGUACUUUAACAGAUUCUGCGAGUUCUUACCCCAAAACGACGGGCUUACUGGGCUCAACCCCAGAGGCUCCGACCCAGCUGCAAAACACGGAAAAUUGGAAAAACGAAGAAUUGACCCCAAAAUGACACCCACGGCUCCUGAACCAGCAGGGACAGAGAAGGACCUGGUCCCUGGGGGUACUG